rnacentral:rRNA from 1 species
CUACGGGGCGCUCCAGUUAGGAAUAAUCUACAAUGCGCGCAAGCGUGAUAGUUUGAGCCAGAGUGCUUUUCUAUUUGAAAAGCUUUUGCUGAAUGUAAAAAGUUCGGCGAAUAAGGACUGGGUAAGACGAGUGCAAGCCGCCGCGGUAAUACUCGCGGUCCAAGUCGCAGCCACAUUUAUUGGGUCUAAAACAUCCGUAGCUUGCUUUGUAAGUUUCUUGUGAAAUCUGAUAUCUUAAGUAUUGGGCGUGCAAGAAGUACUGCAAAGCUAGAGACUGGGAGACGGAAGAAGUACGUUCAAAGUAGCGGUAAAAUGUGUUAAUCUUGAGCGGACUCUCAAUAGCGAAGGCAUCUUCCGAGAACAGUUCUGACAGUAAGGGAUGAAGGCCAGGGGCGCAAAACGGAUUAGAUACCCCUGUAGUC